ensembl:lncRNA GBA1LP glucosylceramidase beta 1 like, pseudogene
AGUGCCUAUAGCUAUGGCAGGUACCUGCAUCCUUGUUUUUGUUUAGUGGAUCCUCUAUCCUUCAGAGACUCUGGAACCCCUGUGCUCUUCUCCUCAUCUAGUGACCCUGAGGUGAUGGAGUUUUCAAGUCCUUCCAGAGAGGAAUGUCCCAAGCCUUCGGGUAGGGUAAGCAUCAUGGCUGGCAGCCUCACAGGAUUGCUUCUACUUCAGGCAGUGUCGUGGGCAUCAGAUGAGUGCCUUCAGCCGCUACAAGAGCAGAAGCAGUGGGCAUUGGAUGGAGCUGAGUACAGGACCAUACAGGCUAAUUGCACCGGCACAGGCCUGCUACUGAUCCUGCAGCCAGAAGUUCCAGAAAGUGAAGGGAUUUGGAGGGGCCGUGACAGAUGCAGUGAAAUAAGAUUUCGCCGCCUAUCAUCUGCUAACUGCUACGGACUCAGGCUCAGAAAGGCCUGCGCUUCACCCAGGAAUCGGAUAUAACAUCAUCUGGGUACCCAUGGCCAGCUGUGACUUCUCCAUCCGCACCUACACCUAUGCAGACACCCCUGAUGAUUUCCAGUUGCACAACUUCAGCCUCCCAGAGGAAGAUACCAAGCUCAAGAUACCCCUGAUUCACCGAGCCCUGCAGUUGGCCCAGCGUCCCGUUUCACUCCUUGCCAGCCCCUGGACAUCACCCACUCGGCUCAAGACCAGGGGAGCGGGGAAUGGGAAGGGGCCACUCAAGGGACAGCCCAGAGACAUCUACCACCAGACCUGGGCCAGAUACAUUGUGAAGUUCCUGGAUGCCUAUGCUGAGCACAAGUUACAGUUCUGGGCAGUGACAGCUGAAAAUGAGCCUUCUGCUGGGCUGUUGAGUGGAUACCCCUUCCAGUGCCUGGGCUUCACCCCUGAACAUCAGCGAGACUUCAUUGCCCGUGACCUAGGUCCUACCCUUGCCAACGGUACUCACCACAAUGUCCGCCUACUCAUGCUGGAUGACCAACGCUUGCUGCUGCCCCACUGGGCAAAGGUGGUACUGACAGACCCAGAAGCAGCUAAAGGCCUGUGUGGGUUCCAAGUUCUGGGAGCAGAGUGUGCGGCUAGGCUCCUGGGAUCGAGGGAUGCAGUACAGCCACAGCAUCAUCACAAACCUCCUGUACCAUGUGGUCGGCUGGACCGACUGGAACCCAUCAUUGUAGACAUCACCAAGCACACGUUUUACAAACAGCCCAUGUUCUACCACCUUGGCCACUUCAGCAAGUUCAUUCCUGAGGGCUCCCAGAGAGUGGGGCUGGUUGCCAGUCAGAAGAACGACCCGGACGCAGUGGCACUGAUGCAUCCCGAUGGCUCUGCUGUUGUGGUCGUGCUAAACCGCUCCUCUAAGGAUGUGCCUCUUACCAUCAAGGAUCCUGCUGUGGGCUUCCUGGAGACAAUCUCACCUGGCUACUCCAUUCACACCUACCUGUGGCGUCGCCAGUGAUGGAGCAGAUACUCAAGGAGGCACUGGGCUCAGCCUGGGCAUUAAAGGGACAGAGUCAGCUCACACGCUGUCUGUGACUAAAGAGGGCACAGCAGGGCCAGUGUGAGCUUACAGCGACGUAAGCCCAGGGGCAAUGGUUUGGGUGACUCACUUUCCCCUCUAGGUGGUGCCAGGGGCUGGAGGCCCCUAGAAAAAGAUCAGUAAGCCCCAGUGUCCCCCCAGCCCCCAUGCUUAUGUGAACAUGCGCUGUGUGCUGCUUGCUUUGGAAACUGGGCCUGGGUCCAGGCCUAGGGUGAGCUCACUGUCCGUACAAACACAAGAUCAGGGCUGAGGGUAAGGAAAAGAAGAGACUAGGAAAGCUGGGCCCAAAACUGGAGACUGUUUGUCUUUCCUGGAGAUGCAGAACUGGGCCCGUGGAGCAGCAGUGUCAGCAUCAGGGCGGAAGCCUUAAAGCAGCAGCGGGUGUGCCCAGGCACCCAGAUGAUUCCUAUGGCACCAGCCAGGAAAAAUGGCAGCUCUUAAAGGAGAAAAUGUUUGA